rnacentral:rRNA from 1 species
AUUGAACGCUGGCGGCGUGCCUAACACAUGCAAGUCGAGCGGUAACAGGCGUAGCAAUACGUGCUGACGAGCGGCGAACGGGUGAGCAAUGCUUCGGAAUCUGCCCUUUAGUGGGGAAUAACCAGCCGAAAGGUUGGCUAAUACCGCAUACGCCCCCUUCCUUGGAUGGAAGGUGGGGAAAGCGGGGGACCGUAAGGCCUCGCGCUAUUGGAUGAGCCGAAGUCGGAUUAGCUAGUUGGUAGGGUAACGGCCUACCAAGGCGACGAUCCGUAGCUGGUCAGAGAGGACGACCAGCCACACUGGGACUGAGACACGGCCCAGACUCCUACGGGAGGCAGCAGUGGGGAAUAUUGGACAAUGGGGGCAACCCUGAUCCAGCGACGCCGCGUGUGUGAAGAAGGCCUGCGGGUUGUAAAGCACUUUUAGUGGGGAUGAAAAGCUCGGGGAUAACACCUCCGGGUCUUGACCUAACCCACAGAAAAAGCACCGGCUAACUCUGUGCCAGCAGCCGCGGUAA